AAGUGGAUAGCUGAUUAGACGGUGCAAGUGAAUUGCUGGUAACGAGCUAAGGAUGAAAGAUAAGGCUCAUAGUAGGGAUGGAAAUGGUGGACCGACUAUCAGGCAAUGUGAGUAAUUGAUUGCGAGAGUUGAUUCGUGAGACUGAGGACAUCUUUAUAAUCUGAGAGUUCCGAAUGUUGAUCUGACGGACCGAAUAGUGAUGAUGUGAU
rnacentral:lncRNA from 1 species